CCGUCGCGGCCCUCCGCCCUGCCGUCACAACCACCAGUCUCGCGGCAGCCAGAUCCCCAACGUCGCGUCGCUCUCCAAGUGCCGCCUACGCCUCCUCAAGCUCGAGCGGGUCAAGGACUACCUCCUCAUGGAGGAGGAGUUCGUUGCCGCGUAGGAGUAACUCCGCCCCCAGGAGGACAAGGCCGAGGAGGACCGAUCCAAGGAAGCCUCGGUCCUGCCCCCAAGGAACCGGGAGAUGGGUGUGUUUGAACUCAAGAUCAACCAGCUAGUACUGGAUUGCGCAUAUUGCCAACAACCCCUCCGGCCUGACCAGAUCAGGGGCCAAGCGUACAUGUGCGCUGGCGGCCACAUCUAUUGUGGUGCCUGCACCCGCCGACACGAAAAGGCAUGUAUCUCCAACUGCCGUUUGCUGGACCGCACCAUCGCUCAGAUGAAGUUCAAAUGCAUCUUCUGCGAC